UUAUCCAUUCAGGGGUUGUUUGGUUCAGCGUACAUAAGUGGAGAGGUGAAAUUCAAGUUUUAUUAUUUUUAAUAUUAUUUUAUUGCAAAUAAAAAAUGAUAAUAUAAUUUAUGUUACGUUAGACCUCCAUUUCACCUACUCUCUUACUCAUUAAACCUCCACUUCACCUACGUCUCUUUUUCUUUAGAGUACCGAACUCAAGUUUCACCACACUUAACUUUUUCUAAAACAAAUUAAAUAUAAAAACUUAAACUCUGCUUUCUUUAGAAUGGAUUAGAGUUACUUUUUUUUACUAUAGGUUAAGAUUACUUCCAAAUAAUAAUGAAAGAUUUAAUUAUUUAAUAGAUUGGAUUUUAUAGAAAUGAGAUUACCACUAUAUUUAAAAAGUAAAGGGAUCCACUUACUUAUAUCAAAAUAAAUAAUAAAAUUUUAAAAAUUAAUUUCACCAGCAUCAAAUUACGCCAAAAUAAAAUAGAAGAAGUAAUUGAAUUUAACUUCUAGACAUCAAAAUAAAUAUUAAAAAAGUAAUUAUAUUUUAGAAAAAUUUAAACACUAUUAUAUUUGAGUUACGUUGGAU
rnacentral:lncRNA from 1 species